rnacentral:rRNA from 1 species
GAUGAACGCUGGCGGCGUGCCUAAUACAUGCAAGUCGAGCGAACAGACGAGGAGCUUGCUCCUCUGACGUUAGCGGCGGACGGGUGAGUAACACGUGGAUAACCUACCUAUAAGACUGGGAUAACUUCGGGAAACCGGAGCUAAUACCGGAUAAUAUAUUGAACCGCAUGGUUCAAUAGUGAAAGACGGUUUUGCUGUCACUUAUAGAUGGAUCCGCGCCGCAUUAGCUAGUUGGUAAGGUAAUGGCUUACCAAGGCAACGAUGCGUAGCCGACCUGAGAGGGUGAUCGGCCACACUGGAACUGAGACACGGUCCAGACUCUUACGGGAGGCAGCAGUAGGGAAUCUUCCGCAAUGGGCGAAAGCUUGACGGAGCAACGCCGCGUGAGUGAUGAAGGUCUUCGGAUCGUAAAACUCUGUUAUUAGGGAAGAACAAAUGUGUAAGUAACUAUGCACGUCUUGACGGUACCUAAUCAGAAAGCCACGGCUAACUACGUG